UAUAUACUCCCUCCGUCCCAAAAUAAGUGUCUUGAGCUUAGUAUAACUUUGUAUUAGAACUAGUACAAAGUUAAGACAUUUAUUUUGGGACGGAGGGAGUACAUG
rnacentral:pre_miRNA from 1 species